AUUAAACGAUUUAUUGCCAAAAAGACAUCACCAAUUGAAAAUGAUUUGGCAAAACAUGUAUGAUUACAUUGGUACCUGGUUAAGGCAUUGGGUGUGUCACCUCUAACAAAAAGUCAGGUAUAUAGAUGUUUAUACAGACCAGCUUUGACACGUUUGUUAUCACAAAAUGUAACCCCUUUUUCCAGAGGUUGAAUACUUGAAAUAGAUAUUAAUAUUGUUCUAUAUAAUCUAAAAGUUGGCCAUCAUUGAUAAAUAUAAUGCUUCUUUUUUAAAUAUAUUUACAUAUAUAUACAACAAUUACAAAUAAAUAUGUACAAAAAAGAUAGAGACAGGAAACAACACACAUGUUGCCUGCAGAGAGUUCAAUUGUUUUGAAAACAUAGCUAUUUUAAGUGAUUUCUGAUGAUAUUUAACUCAUUCACCCCUGAAAUUUCAUAAUGAACUCCUCCAACCUUUGAAUUUGAAGACUUGUUUUCAGUCCACUGAGUACCGACGUUUGAGAGUUGGCAGUCGUUACACUCGUCAGUCAAUGUACUUUUCUUUCAAACAUUUAUUCAUAUUAGAAAACAAAGAUGUUGUAUCAGGUUGGUGCAAUAAUUUAUGAUUCAACAUAAACUUAAUAACACGAUUUAUGAAAAAUUAACAAUCAACUCUUCAUUUAAAUUCUUCGAAUAGAAUUAUGAUAAAAUAACCUAAAAUCUUCAUUUGGAAAAUCAACAACAAGGCACAAUGUGGAUAAAAA